UACAGAGACUGCAAGCGUUAUUCGGAUUCACUGGGCGUAAAGGGUGCGCAGGCGGUUGGGUGUGUCAGAUGUGAAAUCCCGAGGCUUAACCUCGGAACUGCGUCUGAAACUACUCGACUAGAGUACUGGCGAGGGUAACGGAAUUCACGGUGUAGCAGUGAAAUGCGUAGAUAUCGUGAGGAACACCAGAGGCGAAGGCGGUUACCUGGACAGUUACUGACGCUCAGGCACGAAAGCAUGGGGAGCAAAAGGG
rnacentral:rRNA from 1 species